GGGGCCAAGACUUUUCAUAACUUGAGCUAGAGGUUUUUCUACUUAUCCCAAUAAGACAAUUCACUUAAACACAAAGAGUCAUUUCUUUUCCUUUUUCAUUGCUCCCAAAUCAUAAUCACAACUCUCACCUCCCACCUAUAGCUAGACAAUAGAGUGCCCAAUCUAGCAAGAAUGAAGAUCAAGCAUUGUCGUUCCCGAUACUCUCAACAUUAUGCACAUGUAAGACUUUCCGAAGAAGGCCUCACUCAUCAAACAAUGAAAGCUUAAAAGGAGGGAAAGGUUUUGGGAGUGGUCUACCACUAGAGUUUGUCAGAAUAAGAUUGGCAUAAAGG
rnacentral:lncRNA from 1 species